rnacentral:rRNA from 1 species
UACGGAGGGUGCAAGCGUUGUCCGGAAUCACUGGGCGUAAAGGGCGCGUAGGCGGCUCAUGAAGGCUGUGGUGAAAGUCCGGGGCUCAACCUCGGAUCGGCCGUGGCGACUCGUGGGCUGGAGCACUGUAGAGGCGGGUGGAAUUCCAGGUGUAGCGGUGAAAUGCGUAGAGAUCUGGAGGAAUACCGGUGGCGAAGGCGGCCCCCUGGACGAAGACUGACGCUCAGGUGCGAAAGCGUGGGGAGCAAACAGGG